AGAUUUCAACGGACGAAACAAACUUCCGACUCAAAUAUUUUUUUCUAUAUAAAGAAACUUCGUUACGAUCAAAAGAAAAUAAAACCAAGUUCGAAACUAAUUAAUUAAAAAGAAAAAGGUUGGAAAUAAAUUCAAAAAGCAUGGCGAGGUUCAAUAUUUUGGCGGUGAUUGUGGCAAUGUUCGUUGUGAUGGCUGCUUUUGUUUCACCGGCGGUGGGGACCAAAUUCAUCGGGUAUCCAGCUAUGUGGAGGGAUCCUGUAAAUUGGAGGACACCGCCAGGUGCUGCGAACCCUUACCAUCGAGGUUGCGAGGCGGCUGAGCAGUGCCGCGAGGAGGCGUAGCGGAAAUAAUUAGUUACUACACAAGAAAGUUGAUCUAAUAUUAUAAUUACUAUGAUUAAAUAAUCUUUGAUUCUUUUAUUUAUAGUUCUAUUUAUUUUUUUCCAUUUAAUAUAUUUAGGUUUUUCAAUUAGAGCCAUGGGUGGUCCUUAGUUUUAGGAACCCUAUGCCAAAUAAAAAUUGAGGCCAUAUGUUAUAGAUUGUUUUAUAUUAUCGUAUGUAAGAUUUUCAUUUUGUUACUUUAUAUAGAUGCAAACGUAUUAAUUAAAUCUUUUCACUUCCGAUUUCUCUAAAAUAUCUCUUCCGGUACACAAAAUCGCUAAUCGUGAC
rnacentral:lncRNA from 1 species